AGAGCGGAGGCAGAGAGUGUCUGCGGCGACUAGGCUGAAAGAAUCGCACGCGUCUGCGACGCUGGAGGAGCUGAGGAGGCAGACGAGGGAGGCGGUGAAGGGGUUGGAGUCCGCCACUGCGGGGACAGCGCCGUCGAGGGGAGGAUUUGGGUUUGAGAAUGAAGGGAUGGAAGAUUUUGUUAAGCAAUUCGAGGAGCUUGUCGGUUCUCAGGUUAGCAGUCCACCUUGAGCACAUGUCCAAUACUACCACAUUCCUCGAAAACUACCAUGAGACAUAUGGCUCCCUAUGGAGAGGAUCAAAGAUGAUCGCUGACGAGAGAUUCUAUGAGCUAAUUCAACGAAAGAAACUCUAUCAUGUGUGCACUGUCCAGAUGUAUACCUCUUACUUUUAUUUGAGACAACUAGGAUGUUAUAAGGAGAUUUCAGAGUUUUGAAGCCUGGUCCUUGUGUUGCUGCCUAUGAGUGUUGCAUGAUUUUGAGGCAAUGAAUCCUGACGAUUCAUCACCAAAUAUAGUGUGCAUGUUGCCUCUGGUUGGCUGGUUGUGUAGCCUGAUUUUGUUGGUUGGCUAUUUUUGGUGUACUUGCUGUUGUGGGUUUGCUGGUUGUGUUCAGUUUGGGCACAGGUUGGUUUGAUGGUGCGAAGAGAGGUGUUCAUGUUGUUCAUGAAGGCAUUGUUGAAAGGGUGUUUGAAGUGGUUCGGUACAUAAGUGCCAAGUCUAUGCUCGUUGUUACAAUAUGCCUUGCCUUGUGCAUGCGUGUCAUGUCUGGGACAAGGGUCUUGAUGCUAGUUAGUACAGAUACUUGGCGCCAGAGUACUUCAUGCACGGAAUAGUUAAUGAGAAGACUGAUGUCUUUGCUUAUGGAGUUUUUCCUUUUGGGCUAGGACAAAAUCAAGUCUCCGAGAGCAUCGCCCUAAUCAUUUGGGUGUAUCUCCUGCACAACAUUAAAAGAGGUUGGAAUGUAUAAAAUAAACCAAAUCAGGCACAUUGAAGAAUUACAAAAGAGAGUGAAGAGAUGAAACCAUUGUUCUAGUUUUCUUUGUACAGAUGCUUUUUCAGGCUUCUGGCCAUAUAUUAAUUUCUACCUCUAGAAGCAUUGCUUAAUUGCUCACUGAUAGCACAUUAAUCUAUGCAAGAUUGCCGAGAGCAUUGAAAACUUCCUCAACAUUACAGUAUCUCCUACAACAUUUAUCCAGUGUACCAGUGGGCACACCCUGUGUUCUGCCUGCAAGAACAGAGUUAAAAACAGAUAGAAUUUGUGCAUAGAUUCCUGCUUAUCUUUUGACAUCGUAUAUGGAAUCUAGGGAAAAUUCAUCUGUGUAAAUCUUAGAAGACAUGUAGAGCUCCUGAGCUGACAUAUGUGUCACCUAUUGCUGUUGUAAGUGGACAGGAAACCUCCUUUGUUCUGAAAGGUCGGAAUUUGACUGCUCCUGGCACCAGAAUUCAUUGUACCUACAUGGGGGGCUAAACGUCAAAAGAAGUUCUUGGUUCAGUUUAUCAAGACGCCAUUUACAAAGGUUCCAGCACAGAGUGUUUCAGUUUUCAAUGUGAAUCUGGCGAUGUCUUUGGUCGCUGUUUCAUUGAGGUGCUUGUUGUUCACCAAACCAGUUAAUUUUGAAACUUUGUAUGCAGAUAAAAUCUUGUAUAAAGGAUUAUAACAGUUCAUAAUAUUAUUAGUUUUCAUAGCUCUA